CCUACGGGGGGCAGCAGCAAGGAAUUUUCCCCAAUGGGCGCAAGCCUGAGGGAGCAACGCCGCGUGGAGGACGACGGCCUUCGGGUUGUAAACUCCUUUUGGGCGGGAAGAUGAUGACGGUACCGCCCGAAUAAGCCCCGGCUAACUCCGUGCCAGCAGCCGCGGUAAGACGGAGGGGGCAAGCGUUGUCCGGACUCACUGGGCGUAAAGCGCACGUAGGCGGUGGGGUGCGUCGGUGCUGAAAGCGCCAGGCUUAACUUGGCGAGGCGUGCCGA
rnacentral:rRNA from 1 species